rnacentral:rRNA from 1 species
UGGGGAAUAUUGGACAAUGGGCGAAAGCCUGAUCCAGCCAUGCCGCGUGUGUGAAGAAGGUCUUCGGAUUGUAAAGCACUUUAAGUUGGGAGGAAGGGCAGUAAGCGAAUACCUUGCUGUUUUGACGUUACCGACAGAAUAAACACCGGCUAACUCUGUGCCAGCAGCCGCGGUAAUACAGAGGGUGCAAGCGUUAAUCGGAAUUACUGGGCGUAAAGCGCGCGUAGGUGGUUCGUUAAGUUGAAUGUGAAAGCCCCGGGCUCAACCUGGGAACUGCAUCCAAAACUGGCGAGCUAGAGUAGGGCAGAGGGUGGUGGAAUUUCCUGUGUAGCGGUGAAAUGCGUAGAUAUAGGAAGGAACACCAGUGGCGAAGGCGACCACCUGGGCUCAUACUGACACUGAGGUGCGAAAGCGUGGGGAGCAAACAGG